rnacentral:tRNA from 1 species
CUUAACUUAGUAAAACAAAUACAUUAAAUUUAGAAUUUAAAAAUAAGAUAAAAUUCUUAG